rnacentral:rRNA from 1 species
UAGGGAAUCUUCCGCAAUGGACGCAAGUCUGACGGAGCAACGCCGCGUGAGUGAAGAAGGAUUUCGGUUCGUAAAACUCUGUUGUUAGAGAAGAACAGCGCAUAGAGUAACUGUUAUGCGUGUGACGGUAUCUAACCAGAAAGCCACGGCUAACUACGUGCCAGCAGCCGCGGUAAUACGUAGGUGGCAAGCGUUGUCCGGAUUUAUUGGGCGUAAAGCGAGCGCAGGCGGUCAAUUAAGUCUGAUGUGAAAGCCCCCGGCUCAACCGGGGAGGGUCAUUGGAAACUGGUUGACUUGAGUGCAGAAGAGGGGAGUGGAAUUCCAUGUGUAGCGGUGAAAUGCGGAGAUAUAUGGAGGAACACCAGUGGCGAAGGCGACUCUCUGGUCUGUAACUGACGCUGAGGUUCGAAAGCGUGGGUAGCAAACAGG